rnacentral:lncRNA from 1 species
AUUAUUGGCGUUCAUCCCAGGGCUAGAGCCGGAGCAGACUGUCAGAAGGCUGAGCCUUCAGUAUCCCUCGGGUGCCGCAUGGCCUUUAGUGUUGGAAAGCCGGAAGCAAACGGGUUUGGAUGUGGAGACAUGGCCUCUGGUUUCCUGCUGAGGCUGAGGCAAGAGAAAGGAGGGAAGAUACCACAGAAGGGUUCAGAAACAAAGGCUUGCGUAAGAAUGGGCUUCCUCUUCUGAGAGCACCACACAUCCCUCGUCCUCUUCACCCGCCUGUCUGGAAUCCAGACAGAACCUUCUCUCAAGCUUAGAUCAUUCCCGAAUCCCACUUCUAGCCUUGCUCAAGCUCUUUGGAAUCAAGCUCAUGUGUUCAAGCCACACCCCUCCUAGUACCCCUCUCCCCAGUCCCUUUUAGCCCCAUUCCAGAAUGGUGUAGGACACCACUUCCCUUUUAGGCUCCACAUCCAGUAUGUCUGGAAUUCAACUUUUGGCUGACUGGUCCUCUCUCUACAGAGGCCAUCUCCUCUCCACCCAUUUCAUCCAAGCCACGUCCACCCCUCUACUCUUGGGGUCGAAUUUCCAUUUGAGAGCUUCUUAAGUUCAGGCGAUGCUGGAGGAAUCAAGGCUAGAGUUAGGAUGGGCAGAGGGAGAGAAGGAAGGGGAAAAAGUCCUAUCGACCCACUCCAUGCAGCCAAGGUCUGGCCCCCUUCCUGUCCCCUUUCUAGAGCCCCCUUACAUCACGGGACAGGGCUGGGGAACCGAUAGGGGCUGAGGAGUGCAAGGUCAGGGGUAGGGAGGAGCCCAUUCAGGACUGGGCCCCUAGUGCAUGGAGGAGUGGGUGAAGGUAGGGCUCAGACAGAUAAAUAGAUAUUUAUAUAUAAUAUAUAUAUAUAUAAACAGCAACGACAGGGUCUCCUGGGUUGAGGGGUGGAGACCUAGGAUAUGGGGAUGGGAAGGGGGGCAGGCCUUCUCUUGAGCUCUUGCCCACCCGUGGGGUCUUCGUGGGCUUCACUGACCUGUAGAGAGAAAAGAGAAGGGGUCCAGGUGAGGGCGGAGUCUGAGCUCCCAGAGGAGGGCAGUACCCUCAGGAAGGGAUUGGGCCGCUAGGCUUUUUCUUCUCCAACAGGUCUGGAGUCAGCGCCAUCCUAGCUGCUCUCACUAGGAAGAUAUUACCAACCCUGCUCAAACAGGGUACCAAAGGAACGGUUAAGGUCCCCUCUCUUAACCAAAAAAGCCCAUUAACCAGUACCGUUCUAGUCACUGUUGAAAAUCCACAUUGAGAAAAAAAAUCCCUAUCUCUGUGAGGCUUACAUCAUAUCAGGAAAGGAGACAGGUUUCACAAUGAACAUGACAUAUUAGUAGAUUAUCAAAUAUAAGACGAUAAUAGGCCAUGCAUGAUGGUGCACACCUUCGAUACCAGCACUCAGGAGGCAGAGGGAGUUGGAUCUCUGUGAGUUUGAUGCCGGCCUGAUCUACACAGUGAGUUCCCGAACAGCCAGGGCUAUGUAGAGAGACCGUGUCACCAAAAAAUCAAAAAAAAAAAAAAAAAAAAAAAAAAAUCCCUAAGUGAGCCUGUAGAGAUGACUCAGGAGUUAAGAAUGUGUGCUGCUCUUCUGGAGGACCCACAUUUCACUCACAGAACCCACACUGGGUGGGUUACAACGAUCUGUACAUUUAUCACCAAGGAAGCUGACCUUUCUUCCGGACUCCAUGGACACUUGAACUUACGAUUAAAUAAAAGA